rnacentral:sRNA from 1 species
UUUGUACAAUUAUAGCUGUUCGUCAGGAUUCUAUGCAAGAGAAGAUAUUGAAGAUGUCCAUCAAGAGCAUAGAAAAUGAGAAGAGGUAUCGUCUGUCGUGGAUCUAAUAAGGAUCGAAAGGAAUUGUCCGUCGUCUAUGUAACAGUUCUCAUAAUUUGUAAUAAAUAAUAAAUUUAGACGGCAAAAAAAAA